rnacentral:rRNA from 1 species
CUUGCUUGUUGGGGUUGUAGGACACUCUAUACGGAGUUACAAAGGACGACAUUAGACGAAUCAUCUGGAAAGAUGAAUCAAAGAAGGUAAUAAUCCUGUAGUCGAAAAUGUUGUCUCUCUUGAGUGGAUCCUGAGUACGACGGAGCACGUGAAAUUCCGUCGGAAUCUGGGAGGACCAUCUCCUAAGGCUAAAUACUCUCUAGUGACCGAUAGUGAACCAGUACCGUGAGGGAAAGGUGAAAAGCACCCCGGAAGGGGAGUGAAAUAGAACCUGAAACCGUGUGCUUACAAGUAGUCAGAGCCCGUUAAUGGGUGAUGGCGUGCCUUUUGUAGAAUGAACCGGCGAGUUACGAUUUGAUGCAAGGUUAAGCAGUAAAUGUGGAGCCGUAGCGAAAGCGAGUCUGAAUAGGGCGUUUAGUAUUUGGUCGUAGACCCGAAACCAGGUGAUCUACCCUUGGUCAGGUUGAAGUUCAGGUAACACUGAAUGGAGGACCGAACCGACUUACGUUGAAAAGUGAGCGGAUGAACUGAGGGUAGCGGAGAAAUUCCAAUCGAACCUGGAGAUAGCUGGUUCUCUCCGAAAUAGCUUUAGGGCUAGCCUCAAGUGAUGAUUAUUGGAGGUAGAGCACUGUUUGGACGAGGGGCCCCUCUCGGGUUACCGAAUUCAGACAAACUCCGAAUGCCAAUUAAUUUAACUUGGGAGUCAGAACAUGGGUGAUAAGGUCCGUGUUCGAAAGGGAAACAGCCCAGACCACCAGCUAAGGUCCCAAAAUAUAUGUUAAGUGGAAAAGGAUGUGGCGUUGCCCAGACAACUAGGAUGUUGGCUUAGAAGCAGCCAUCAUUUAAAGAGUGCGUAAUAGCUCACUAGUCGAGUGACACUGCGCCGAAAAUGUACCGGGGCUAAACAUAUUACCGAAGCUGUGGAUUGUCCUUUGGACAAUGGUAGGAGAGCGUUCUAAGGGCGUUGAAGCAUGAUCGUAAGGACAUGUGGAGCGCUUAGAAGUGAGAAUGCCGGUGUGAGUAGCGAAAGACGGGUGAGAAUCCCGUCCACCGAUUGACUAAGGUUUCCAGAGGAAGGCUCGUCCGCUCUGGGUUAGUCGGGUCCUAAGCUGAGGCCGACAGGCGUAGGCGAUGGAUAACAGGUUGAUAUUCCUGUACCACCUAUAAUCGUUUUAAUCGAUGGGGGGACGCAGUAGGAUAGGCGAAGCGUGCGAUUGGAUUGCACGUCUAAGCAGUAAGGCUGAGUAUUAGGCAAAUCCGGUACUCGUUAAGGCUGAGC